CAAAGGAAUUGACGGGGGCCCGCACAAGCGGUGGAGUAUGUGGUUUAAUUCGAUGCAACGCGAAGAACCUUACCUGGUCUUGACAUCCUGCGAACUUUCUAGAAAUAGAUUGGUGCCUUCGGGAACGCAGUGACAGGUGGUGCAUGGCUGUCGUCAGCUCGUGUCGUGAGAUGUCGCGUUAAGUCGCUUAACGAGCGAAACCCUUGUCUCUAGUUGCCAGCGAGUAAAGUCGGGGACUCUAGAGAGACCGCCGGCGUUAAGCCGGAGGAAGGUGGGGA
rnacentral:rRNA from 14 species